rnacentral:misc_RNA from 1 species
GAUGAAGAACGUAGCGAAAUGCGAUAAGUAGUGUGAAUUGCAGAAUUCAGUGAGUCAUCGAAUCUUUGAACGCACAUUGCGCCCUCUGGUAUUCCGGAGGGCAUGCCUGUUCGAGCGUCAUUAUCACCCCUCAAGCCCGGCUUGUUGUUGGAUGCAGCGCUUAUCCCGCUCCUCCCAAAGAUAAUGACGGCGUCUGCGACGACUCCUGUACACUGAGCUUUCGGGCACGUACACGGCUAGAAGUCCAGACCCGGUCGCCGUCCCCCCCGCGGGGACACCCAUUACCACAAGGUUGACCUCGGAUCAGGUAGGAAUACCCGCUGAACUUAAGCAUAUCAAUAAGCGGAGGA